rnacentral:rRNA from 1 species
UACGGAGGGUGCAAGCGUUGUCCGGAAUCACUGGGCGUAAGGGCGCGUAGGCGGCUCAUGAAGGCUGUGGUGAAAGUCCGGGGCUCAACCUCGGAUCGGCCGUGGCGACUCGUGGGCUGGAGCACUGUAGAGGCGGGUGGAAUUCCGGGUGUAGCGGUGGAAUGCGUAGAGACCCGGAGGAACACCAGUGGCGAAGGCGGCUCACUGGCCCGGUACUGACGCUGAGGUGCGAAAGCGUGGGGAGCAAACAGG